rnacentral:tRNA from 1 species
GCUAGCGUAGCUUAAUACAAAGCAUAACACUGAAGAUGUUAAGAUGGGCCCUGAGAAGUUCCGCGUGCA